rnacentral:rRNA from 1 species
CGCUAGCGAUAGGCCUAACACAUGCAAGUCGAGGGGCAGCAUAGGGUAGCAAUACUUUGAUGGCGACCGGCGCACGGGUGAGUAACGCGUAUGCAACCUACCUAUAACAGGGGAAUAAGCCCGGAGAAAUUCGGACUAAUACCGCAUAAAACAGGGGCUCCGCAUGGUGAUAUUUGUUAAAGAUUUAUCGGUUAUAGAUGGGCAUGCGUUCCAUUAGCCAGUUGGUGAGGUAACGGCUCACCAAAGCAACGAUGGAUAGGGGUUCUGAGAGGUUUGUCCCCCACACUGGAACUGAGACACGGACCAGACUCCUACGGGAGGCAGCAGUGAGGAAUAUUGGUCAAUGGGCGAGAGCCUGAACCAGCCAAAUCGCGUGAAGGAAGACUGCCUUAUGGGUUGUAAACUUCUUUUAUACAGGAAUAAAAAGAUUACGUGUAACUUAUUGCAAGUACAGUACGAAUAAGCAUCGGCUAACUCCGUGCCAGCAGCCGCGGUAAUACGGAGGAUGCGAGCGUUAUCCGGAUUUAUUGGGUUUAAAGGGUGCGCAGGCGGGAACUUAAGUCAGCGGUGAAAUCUCGACGCUUAACGUCGAAACUGCCGUUGAAACUGGGUUUCUUGAGUAUAGAUGAAGUAGGCGGAAUUCGUUGUGUAGCGGUGACAUGCUUAGAUAUAACGAGGAACUCCGAUUGCGUAGGCAGCUUACUAAGCUAUAACUGACGCUGAAGCACGAAAGCGUGGGGAUCAAACAGGAUUAGAUACCCUGGUAGUCCACGCCGUAAACGAUGAUUACUAGUUGUAUGCGAUAUACCGUAUGUGACUAAGCGAAAGCGAUAAGUAAUCCACCUGGGGAGUACGCCGGCAACGGUGAAACUCAAAGGAAUUGACGGGGGCC